ACUGUGAUUGCUGGAUCAUAUGGUAAAAUUAUGUUUAGUUUUUGAAGAAAUUCUCAAACUGUUUUUCAAGCUGGCUGUACCAUUUUGCAUUCCCACCAGCAAU
rnacentral:pre_miRNA from 1 species